GAUGAACGUUGGCGGCGUGCCUAAUACAUGCAAGUCGAACGGAGAUUGUAGUAAUACGGUCUCAGUGGCGAACGGGUGAGUAACGCGUUGGUGACCUGCCCCGAAGUGUGGAAUAACAGAUCGAAAGAGCUGCUAAUACCGCAUAAUAUCCAGAAGAUUAGACGCUUUUGGAUUAAAGGAUUUAUUCGCUUCGGGAGGGGCCUGCGUCCCAUCAGCUAGUUGGUAAGGUAAUGGCUUACCAAGGCUAUGACGGGUAGGGGACCUGAGAGGGUGGCCCCCCACAAUGGAACUGAAACACGGUCCAUACACCUACGGGUGGCAGCAGUAGGGAAUAUUAGUAAUGGGCGAAAGCCUGAACUAGCAACGCCGCGUGUGCGAAGAAGGCCUUCGGGUUGUAAAGACACUUUUAGUAGAGGAUGAGGAAGGAACGGUACUCUCAGAAUAAGUCUCGGCUAACUACGUG
rnacentral:rRNA from 1 species